rnacentral:rRNA from 1 species
AGUGAACGCUGGCGGUAGGCCUAACACAUGCAAGUCGAACGGCAGCACAGUAAGAGCUUGCUCUUACGGGUGGCGAGUGGCGGACGGGUGAGGAAUACAUCGGAAUCUACUUUUUCGUGGGGGAUAACGUAGGGAAACUUACGCUAAUACCGCAUACGACCUACGGGUGAAAGCAGGGGAUCUUCGGACCUUGCGCGAUUGAAUGAGCCGAUGUCGGAUUAGCUAGUUGGCCGGGUAAAGGCCCACCAAGGCGACGAUCCGUAGCUGGUCUGAGAGGAUGAUCAGCCACACUGGAACUGAGACACGGUCCAGACUCCUACGGGAGGCAGCAGUGGGGAAUAUUGGACAAUGGGCGCAAGCCUGAUCCAGCCAUACCGCGUGGGUGAAGAGGGCCUUCGGGUUGUAAAGCCCUUUUGUUGGGAAAGAAAAGCAGCAGGUUAAUACCCCGCUGUUCUGACGGUACCCAAAGAAUAAGCACCGGCUAACUUCGUG